rnacentral:lncRNA from 1 species
CACUGGAGCAGGAGAGCGGCCUCAGUCCCCACCCCAACCCCAGAAGAGGGCGGGGCGAGAACCGGAGUCAAAUCUUGGGCCGGGUCCAAGGGCCUGAGCGCCUGGUUUAGGCCGGAAAUGGUCUAGUUCUCAGAGGUGGUCCGAUCCCUAACCAGUCCCAGGCCCAGCCCCAGCCCAGCACCACCUGGAAGGUUCAAGUACAUGGAGGAGAGGAGUAAGGCGGACUUGGGCGUAUGGAGAAAGGGGUGAAGGGAGAAAGAGGACUUGCGCUCAGGAGGGAGCGUGGCCUACUGGUGGGAAAGCAGGCGUGGCCGCCUGUGCGGGAGGUUGCGGAUCCACAGUGGGCGAGACCAGGCCCCAGCCCCAUCAGGGCGCGGGGUGCGCAGCCAGGUGGUGCUCCAGCAGCGCCCAGUGAGAGGAGACCUUGCGGUAGACGGGGGAAGGGCGCGCGCUCUGGCCGCUGAGUGCGCAUGUGCAUAUUGAGCGAACUCUUCUGCGGGAAGGGCUUGGCGUAGACCGCGCACUGGAAGGCGUGCGCGCAGGUGUGCGUGACCAUGUGCUUGAAACGGCAGUAGCGCAGCGAGAAGGAUCGCCAUCACACGGCGCACUGGUGCGGCUUCUCCCCCGAGUGGAUGAACAUGUGCUUGGUGUCGUUUUUCCUUGAGCUGAACGUCUUGCAACAGUGGCCGCACGCAUAGCUGCCCCAGAUCCCGGAAGAAAAUCUCUCCCACACCACUGUAGUCAGAGAGGCCAGUGGGUGCAUGGAACUCCUCGCACGCGCUGUCAGCAGCAGCAGUGAGGAAGCCGGCAGCACAGUCUGGGAAGGAAGGAGGUGCUUGGCUCUCUCCCGGGCCGCCACCUUCGCCGUCCUCGCCAUCGGUCUCAUCGUCAGUUUCCUCGUCAUCGUUGUCACCUCGGUCGUCAGGGGCCGCGGACAGUGAGGGGUAGGCACCAAGCCCCUCGGCUUUGGCAGGUGUCGGGGGCGCAGGCAGCUGCAAACUCGCGGGCCGGCGCUGCUUACCGCUGUGCGCGGCACCGGGGUGCCCCGGGGGUGCGCAGCCAGCAGGUGGCGCAGGCGGUGACGCAGCUGCUCAGGUGCGAGUGGCGGGGGCACAGGGGUGGGCAGGGGCGCGGGUGCAGAGGUGCUCGCGGGUGCAGAGGAGCGCGUGCGAUAAUCUGCGUGCAUUCGUCGAUAACUGUCUAUGCGAAGCACCGACGCAGCCAUGAGUACCUGCGGGGCUUCACUCUGUGCCACAACGAGCGAACCGCUGUACAGGAGCUCGACUAGCUGUCGCACCGUCUGCACAGGCACCACCGAAGGCACACGGAUCUCAGAGGGGCCGAGCAGCAGCUUGUCUUGGAAGGAGGGCGAGCCGAUUGCCAGCCCGCAGCGGUGCGCACGCAGCGAAGCUUCAUGAAUGCACACAGUCACGUCGCAGAAGUGCCCACCCAGCUUCUGCCCAUUGAGGGUCUCAAGCAGAGAGCGUGAGAAGUUCUGCAGAUGUAUGUGGCGCACAGCCUCUACAGCCGCCGACUCCGACUCCUCUUCAGGCACCAGGCCUGGCCGUGGCCGCCUUCUCACCGACUCCAAGGCAGCACUUCCGGGCGCUUCUCUUUAUUUUUAUACAGUUUUAUUGAGAUAUAAUUUACAUGCUAUCCAGCCCAUCUAUUUCAAGUGUACCAUGCAAGGGGUUUGUAUAUAUUCACAGAGUUGUGUAUCCAUCACCAUCGUUUUAGAACAUUCAUCACUCCAGAAGAAACUACGUACCCAUCAGCAGCCACUGCCCAUUUCCCUGAUCUGCCCCGCCCUAGGAAAUCCGUAAUCACUUUCAGUCUAUGGAUUUGCCUAUUCUAGACCAUUCAUAUAAAUGAAGUCACACAACACUGGGUCUUAUGUGACUGGCUUCUAUCAAAGUUUGCAAGGUUCAUUUAUGUUCAUGGUAUGUAUCAGUAGCUUGUUACUUUUUAUGUUUGACUUCUAUUCUGUUACUUACCUACACCGUAUUUUAUCUAUCUCUUCUGCAGUUUAUGGGAUUUAGGUCGUUUCCACGUUUUGGCUGUUCUAAAUAAUGCUGCUCUGAGCGUUCACAUACAAGCUUUUCACAUGAUUUCAUUUCUCCAGAUCUAGGAGUGCAAUUGCUAUAUUAUAUGGCAACCCCGUGUUUCACUUUUUGACAAAGUGCCAGACUGCUUUUCAAAGGACAGCAUCAUUUUAUAUUCCUGCCAGCAAUGUCGAGGGGUCCAGUUUCCACACAUUCUCACAAACACUUAUUGUUAUCUGUCUCUCUAGUUAUUGCCUUCCUGAUGGAUGUGGAGUGCUUUCUCAUUGGUUUUGAUUUGCAUUGUUUAAAUGAGUUAUAAGAUUGAGCAUGUUUUCAUGUUUAUUGGCUGCUUGUAUAUCUUCUUUGGAGAAAUGUCUAUUCAGAUUGUCUCCCCAUUUUAAAAUCGUGUUAUUUUCUUUUUUACUAUUGACUUGUGAAUGUUCAAACAUGUAUAUAUAUAUAUAUAUAUAUAUUUUUUUUUUUUUUUUUUUUUGAGACGGAGUCUUACUCUGUUGCCAGGCUGGAGUGCAGUGGCACGAUCUUGGCUCACUGCAAUCUCUGCGUCACGGGUUUAAGUGAUUCUCCUGCCUCAGCCUCCUGAGUAGCUGGGACUACAGGCAUGCACCACCACACCCGGCUAAUUUUUGUAUUUUUAGUAGAGACGGGGUUUCACCAUGUUGGCCAGGAUGGUCUCAAUCUCCUGACCUCGUAAUCCACCCACGUUGUUCUCCCAAAGUGCUGGGAUUACAAGGUGUGAGCCACCGCGCCCGGCCCAAACAUAUUCUUAUACAAUUCUCUUCUUAGAUAUAGGGUUUGCAAACAUUUUAUCUCACAUUGUAAUUAUUUUUUCAUUUUCUUGAAAGUCUACUUUGAUACAGGAAUAUUUGUGAAUUUUAUAAAGUACAGCUUAUCUAUAUUUUCUAUUAUACUUGUGGUUUUGGUAUGAUAUCCAUAAAAUCAUUGCCUAACCCAAGGUCACAAAGCCUCAGUCCCAUAUUUUCUCCUACGUGUACUAAACUUUUGGCUUUUAUAUUUAGGUCUUUGAUCCAUUUAGGGUUAACUUUUAUAAAUGGUGUGAGGGAGGGGACUAACUUCAGUCUGUACAUGUGAACAUCAAUCUGUCCCAGGACAUUUUUGAAAAGACUAUUCACUCCCCAUUGAAUUGCCUUGUCUCCCUUGUCAAAGUCACAACAAUUACUGUCCUCAUUUUUGUAUCUGGUCACAUGUUCCUAGUUAGUAACUAUAACUACCCUCUUCUACUACGCAUUCUGUAUUCCCUUAGCUUUCAGCAAGCAACUCAGUUGGUCUUGAUUCUUUAUAUGGGGCAAUGACCCAAACUUUCCUUCCUGAAGGAAUUGGGCCAUUGGCAGCUGUGCCCGAAUUGGGUUGUUGUAGUUUUCCAUUAAAUUAAUCACAGGGCAUGGUAGUAGGUAGCACUGAAGACACCCUAGGAGAUCCCAUGUAUUCCAGAAGUAUUAUUUCUUAGUUCUGUGGAGUAGAAGCAAUUAACCCUUGGUAGUCAGGAUCAACCACCUCUGCCAGCACGGUAACUCCCUUCUUUGCCUGUCUAUUCAGAGGCAUGAGGAGCUCAGAGUGGACAGGGACUAUCUUAACUUCCAGUUCAGUAGAAUCAUUUCUUUGUAUCGUGGGGGAUGCAUUCCUCCUUUUGGGACCAAGACUUCUAGACCAGCAGAGCAUAAGAUUGAGGGACAGGAAAUGAAAAUUUUGCUGGUGUGUCACUAGGGGUAAUAGUGAUGAUGAGAACCAAUUGGUGUGGGAGACCAUGAGGUGGAUAAGGCACUCUGUAAGUCCAGACAGUAGUGUGAUUUUUAUGAAGUACAAUUUAUCAGUGGUGAUAGGAACAUUGAGGGUAGGAGGGGAAAUUCUCAUACAUAGUGUCUGUUUCAGUGAGAACAAGACACUGCCUCUUCUAUGAUGGAGGUGGUUCAGAGUCACAGCCAGGUUACCUUGGGAGUGGAAGUCCAUGUUGCAGAGCCCAGGCAUCACCUCCACCCCUGCCACCAUGGCCACUGUAUUCAUGAGCCCAUUGAGCAAUGACAGGGGUGGCUGGGGAAAGAGGCUGAGUGGUGUCCACAGAACAGGUCAUCCUAUCUGCUUGAUUAUUGAAAUCCUUCUCUGCCAAGGCCACCCUUUGGAGAGCAUUUACAUAGCACUCAAUGCACUCUUGCUUUUGGUUUACUCUUUUACUAGGUGAAACCAGUCCUAGUGGCUCAUAACUGGGUUUUCCUAUCAUACUUGUCCUCAGUCCGUAGGUGAAACAACAAAUGUAGGGAUGCUGAAAGUUGCUGAGUAUGUGUCUAUUCCAACCACAGGGUGGGUUCAGGGACACAUUGGAUCCACUGUGAAACAGACAUGAGCUCACACUCCAUCCACCAGCUAACCUCCAUAAGUCCCUACUCUGGUGGACCACAGUGAUGUUUUUGGUCUCUGGGAAUUCCUGUCAAAUCAGAGCCAGUGUCCAGAAUUCCCCAAAUAUCUGAGAAUUUUCUUUUCUCUAAGUCACAGUCAUCCUGGUAGAAGGCUGUAGGUCCCUUUGGGGAAGACUGGGAAAAAGAUUAACUAUGUAAGUUUUUGGCAAUGUAGCAGCGUACUUCCCCAAGAUCACCCAGCCUCCCCUUCACUUAGGGGUUGUGGGCCUGUGAACUGGCUCAAGUCUGGGAAUUGAUUGAGGGUUUAGAUCUGUGUUUCAUUAAUUUGAGUUAGUCUUUUAUUCAGUUGACCUAGAAUUCUUCAUUUUUUAAAAAACAACUAAGACUUUGGUACAGCCCAUUAGCUCUCCCUGUGGAUACCAUGGACUACACAAUGCCAUGGGUUUCUGUGAGUCAAACCAUUCUGACUGCUGCUUUGACACUGCUUUCCACUGUAGUGACCACACCCACCUCAUCUUUGGUGAUUAAGGACAGCCCAUGUUCCCUGCCACCCCAGGAUUCAAUUAUCCUCAUUUUAUUUAAAGAUCCCAGUCCAGUGGCUGCAGUUUCUGCUGUAACAUUUUGCCUACUGAGAGCACGAGCUCAAAGCUCUUCCAGGAUACUGGGCUCCUCUCACAAUAUUCUUUCUCAUGAUCGUUGUGAGAAGUAUGUUCUGUAGACCCUCCAGUGUGAGUGAGCAGGUCUGACAUAAUAAAUCCAGUCUCCCUGAGUUUUUGCAUACCUUCCUAUACACAUAAACCAAGGAAGUUGUGACAUCUCAACUUUAUGUACUUUAGGUAAACUCUGAUUCUGUUUCAGCCAACCAGCCAAGUAACAAAACAAAUAAGCAAACAGCCAACCAAUCAACCAACAAGCAAGCAAGCAACAAACCAACCAAACAAGCAAGCAAGCAAGCAAGCAAGCAACCAACCAACCAAGUAACCGAUCAAACCAACCCUUGGAGCCCUUUCUAAAACUUUGACCUACAACCCUGAAUCCAGAAUCUCUGUUUAGUGGGCCAACAUUAAUAAAUUUAGCCUACUCCAACUUUGUGUUACUUCCACCAUGGUGCCACACACUUAAUAUCCAUUCCCACAUAUAUUCUCCAGAUUUCUUUCUGUAUAAAUUGUGUGUGUGUGUGUGUGUGUGUGUGUGUGUGUAGAAAGAGAGCAUCAACUGAAAAAUCACACAAUUUUAUAAAUUUAGAAAAGAGAGCUUUAUUUCUUAUAAAGGUUUGCAGCCUGCAAGGUGGCCAUUAUGACAGGCUGGGAAGUGUGGCCUACAGCCAAGGCUAGAGGCAGGCCCUUCCAGGGAGGGAAGGAGAGGACAGGAAUUUGAGCUGAAUGAGUUGACUACAUAUACAUACUCAAUAGGAUAUCAGAGGAGCUAUAUCAUUUUAUGAGAAUACUCAUAAAAGAGGUCCUAACACAUGCAUAUUGAAUAAACAUGCAUGUUCAUUCUGGGGUGGAGACUUGACAUUUAAAUGUGUUAUAAUUAGGCCCUACACAUCAAAAAGUGAAGCAGGGAAUGAAGGUACUCAGCCUCUGUAAAGGCACAGCCUCUAAAACUGGCCAGAACCAGUCCAUGGAGGAUGGUCUCUUAUCAGGAGAAAGUUACUGAAAUCAGUCCCUUGUCCAGUGAAAGCUGUCGUUAAGGUCGGUGGGGCAGGAGAUCAGUUACUCAGUGUCUGUGAACUGGGUGAGUUGUAAUUGUUUUAAUCUUGCUUCUCUCAUAGCCAGUGCUUGCUUGGCUGCUAGAGAAAAAUAAAAACUAUGUGGUAGUUAGAAUCUAGUUUAUUCUUUAAGAGUAGGGUACAAGACUUAACCCUUGCCUGGCAUGGCCCUAGGUCCUGUUUAUAAUUUGGGGUCUUAUUGCCACAAAGAGUCUGUUCUGUCAGUCUCAUGAUCUCUAUUUUAACGUUAAUGCUGUUCAGUUGUUGGGUCUAAACCAUAAGAGGGAGAGAGGUACAGGGAGUUAUGUCUGACCUCCUGUCCUGUCAUGGCCAAGAACUGAAUUUUAAGAUUUAUUUGAGGUUCCGUUGGCCAACAGGGGGUCUGUUAAGUCGGGUGGGGGGCUUAGGGUUUCAUUUUUAGUUCUCAAGGGAGAUAAAAUAAUUUAAUCAAUUGGCCCCUGUGACUAUUGGACUAACAUGGCUAUGAUCUGUCAGACAGACUUCAGGCUGGCACCCAGGCAAAAUUCUAUACUGUAGUAAAUGCAUCAUGCACAUUUGUAACAACAUGUACAUAACAAUGUCACAAAAUACUUUCACGGUGACACCUAGAUUAGUGUUUUAUUGAAUAGCUGAUGAUAUAAACUGGCUCAUUUGAUGCCAAGACUGACCAUCACCACCAUACCAAGGUCAUCACUGAUCAGAGGCCUAACCCAAGGAGGGGGUCAUGUGCAGACCCAGCUGUGGGGAGGAAAGAUGCUGCAGAGGAGACGGAUGCCCACAGAGGCCCCUGAGUGGAUACAAUGCUCACUAAGUGGGCUGACCCCACAUUGGACACCGCUGCAUCCAUGUCCAUCACACAACACAGCUGCCGUUUCUUCUGCCUGCUUAUGGGAAAGUCCCCUCUUCUCCUCCGUUUUCUUCUCUUCCUGCCCUAUCACACCGUGCACUUCUCCCUUUCCUUAAAGAACCACCAUCAACUUUAGGAGGAGGGAAAGGGGUGGCUCUGGCAGGAAAAGCCAGAAUCCCCUCUAGCCAGCAGAGAGAGAGAGGAAUGGCUGCAUGUUUUCUCCCCCAGUCCAAGGCACUGGGUCUUGGCUGGGUUGAAGGUUCCAAGCUGCUCUCCUGCUGUGUCGGUGAGUUCUGGUCAACCUGCAACCUCCUGAUAUGGCCAUUGCAGUUCAUCGAGUCUUCAGGGACUCCCCAUGGCCUGGAGUACUUUGCCUUGCUUACACGGGAGAGGAGAAUGGAUUUAUAGAGAACAUCAUCUAAAUCCAACUUGACCAUUGUGUGGCCACACUUGCUAGAUUGCUAUAGUCUAAAUCUAGCAUUGUAGAAAGACGGGGGAGCUUGGAGCUGCACAAACCCAGGUCUGGAACUGGCUCCUUACCUUGGAAGGUGAAUGAUCCUGCCAGGACUCUUAGCCUCCCUGGGUCUCAAUUUCUUUAUCUGUUUCAUGGGAAUGAGGAUCUCUGCUGGGUGGUUGGGUGAUGUGGGGGCUGUGUGAAAACAGCUUGUCAAUACAAGCCAAAAUAGAAAUAUUUCUCCACAGAGUAUGAAGGUCAAAUGAGAGAAUACAUUUAAAUUAAAUGGAAAAUUAAAAUGGUAAAAAAUGCAAAGCUGUAUUGAAAGUUCCGAGCUUCUCUAUAAGGAGCUUUUUGACUAUGGAAGAAUCCUGUACUCGUUCCCCCUAAAUAUAAAAAAAAAGUUGAAGGAGGCAGAAGGGAGAGUGAUGCACGAUGGGCAAGGACUUCACCUGCUGUUGCUGGCUUUGAGGAUGGAGGAAGGAGGCCACAAACCUAGAAGCUGGAGCCCCUAGAAGCUAGAAAAGGCAGGGACCCGAUUCUUUCCUUGAGCCUCCAGAAGGGACACAGCCCCGCCAGCACCUUGACUUUAGCCUGGUGAGAUCCUCUUAGGACUUUUGGCAAUCAGAACUAUAAGACAGAAAUGGAAGCCACUGAGUCUGUAGCUGUUUGUUGCAGCAGCAAUAGAAAACUAAUGCAGGGCCCAAGAAAUCACUGGUGAUGAGAUCGGGAAAGUGGGCUCAGGAGGUCUGGAUCUGUGAUGAGAUGGGGAAAGUGGGCUCAAGAGGUCUGGAUCUGUGGUGAGAUGGGGGAAGUGGGCUCAGGAGGUCUGGAUCUGUGGUGAGAUGGGGGAAGUGGGCUCAGGAGGUCUGGAUCUGUGAUGAGAUGGGGAAAGUGGGCUCAGGAGGUCUGGAUCUGUGAUGAGAUGGGGGAAGUGGGCUCAGGAGGUCUGGAUCUGGGGUGGGGAUCUGGAGUGGAAGGGGAAUUCAUUUGUUCAUUGUCUAUCCUUUUGUAUUGAUUGAAUUUUUUAUAUAUAUAUGUGAAUUUUCACAAUAAAAUUUUUUUCCAAAAUAAAAUAAACAAAAGGGGCUUUUUGCAACCCAAUUCCUAUCUAUGUCUGAGUCCACUUGUAUUGCAUGGGUCUUUCUGCUAACGUCCUUAUAUUUGGGUGACAAUCUGAAUGUCAGCGACCAAUCAGAGCAGAGGCAGACUUUGGAGUGGGCAG